GGAUCAUUAGCUCAGUUGGUCAGAGCAGCCGGCUCAUAACCGGUCGGUCC
rnacentral:tRNA from 1 species